UCAAGGCAGGGAGUACUAAAUCUGA
rnacentral:piRNA from 1 species